AAAAAAUAAUAUAAAUUAUUCGAAAAAUUAAUUUAAUAGUAUUGACAGAGCCUUAAAUUGGCUAAUGGAUAGAUUGUGGGCUCCAUUUUUUAACUUCAUGGUCUUUUAUGGGUCUCAUCUUCUACUAAAUAAAUUGAUAUUCACCUUUAGGGAUGUAAAUGAACCAAACCGUUUGUGAGCUAUUCAAGCUUCGGCUCAAUAAAAGCUCGGUUCGGUUCGGCUCGAUUUCUAAACGAGUCGAACUCAAGCUCGAAUUUUAAGUUCGUUUAAUAAAUGAGCUGAACUCGAGUUCAACAGUAUUCGAUUCGGGCUCGAGUUCGAGCUCGGCUCGUUGAAUAGGCUAGCGAGUUGGCUCGUUGAACAGGUUCGCGAGCUGGCUCAUUGAGUAGGUUCAUGAGCUGGCUCAUUUAUAAA
rnacentral:misc_RNA from 1 species